rnacentral:lncRNA from 1 species
CAGAGACCUGAACGCUAGUCCUCCAUUGCCAUGGUUAGCUGUGUGGUCCCAGCCACAGCAGGGAUGUGAGCUACCAACUCAGCUGCACCUAGUAUCCCUUGGAUUGAGAGGAGCGCUGACAUGUCCUUACUCACCCUUGCUCCAGGCCCACAGCCCACUUUCAGAGGAUGAUUAAAGCAGAGUGAGAAUGAGUCAGGUUCUCUCCAGAAACCAAGGGUCUGAAGUAGCAAUUGACUGAAUGGGACCGGAAGAGUGAUCUGGAAGAGUUAAUGAGUAUUCAACAUUGCUGGGCUCUACUUCCUGGUUCAGCCUUCCAGGAGGGGAGAAUGAAUCUGACCCAAGAUUUGUCGAGUUCUUAAACAUGGCAUUAUUCGAAAUAAAAUUUCCCCCUUCAUCCUCUUAUUGCCAAGGAAGACACUGAUUUUUCAAGAAAGAAAAGCUAAUAUGCUUGCAUAGAGUGCAAAUAGAAUGUGUGACCAAUCAUUGGACUGACAGAAUUUGCCAUCAUUGUGACAAAAGAUUAAUUCAUUUGGUCAAUUAGGCCUGUAACAAAUCAAGACAAGAAAUUUUUGAAAAUCAAACUUUUCACUUUACUGAGUGAUAUGGUUUGGCUGUGUCCCAACCCAAAUCUCAACUGGAAUUGUAUCUCCCAGAAUUCCCAUGUGUUGUGAAGGGGGACCCGGGGGAGAUAAUUGAAUCUUGGGGGCCAGUCUUUCCCAUGCUAUUCUCAUGAUAGUGAAUAAGUUUCACAAGAUCUGAUGGGUUUAUUAGGGCUUUCUGCUUUUGCUUCUUCCUCAUUUUCUCUUGCCACCACUAUGUAAGAAGUGCCUUUCACCUCC